rnacentral:rRNA from 1 species
ACUGCUCAGUAACACGUGGACAACCUGCCCUUAGGACGGGGAUAAACCCGGGAAACUGGGUAUAAUACCCGAUAGGUCUCGAUUGCUGGAAUGCAUCGAGAUUUAAAGCUCCGGCGCCUAAGGAUGGGUCUGCGGCCUAUCAGGUAGUAGUGGGUGUAGCGUACCUACUAGCCUACGACGGGUACGGGUUGUGAGAGCAAGAGCCCGGAGAUGGAUUCUGAGACACGAAUCCAGGCCCUACGGGGUGCAGCAGGCGCGAAAACUUUACAAUGCUGGCAACAGCGAUAAGGGAACCUCGAGUGCCAGGUUACAAAUCUGGCUGUCGAGAUGCCUAAAAAGCAUUUCAUAGCAAGGGCCGGGCAAGACCGGUGCCAGCCGCCGCGGUAACACCGGCGGCUCGAGUGGUAACCGUUAUUAUUGGGUCUAAAGGGUCUGUAGCCGGCCGGAUAAGUCUCUUGAGAAAUCUGGCAGCUUAACUGUCAGGCUUUCAGGAGAUACUGUCUGGCUCGAGGCCGGGAGAGGUGAGAGGUACUUCAGGGGUAGGGGUGAAAUCUUGUAAUCCUUGAAGGACCACCAGUGGCGAAGGCGUCUCACCAGAACGGACCUGACGGCAAGGGACGAAAGCUAGGGGCACGAACCGGAUUAGAUACCCGGGUAGUCCUAGCCGUAAACGAUACUCGCUAGGUGUCGGCCACGGUGCGACCGUUGUCGGUGCCGUAGGGAAGCCGUGAAGCGAGCCACCUGGGAAGUACGGCCGCAAGGCUGAAACUUAAAGGAAUUGGCGGGGGAGCACCACAACGGGUGGAGCUUGCGGUUUAAUUGGAUUCAACGCCGGAAAUCUUACCGGGACCGACAGCAAUAUGAAGGCCAGGCUGAAGACUUUGCCGGAUUAGCUGAGAGGUGGUGCAUGGCCGUCGUCAGUUCGUACUGUGAAGCAUCCUGUUAAGUCAGGCAACGAGCGAGACCCGUACC